rnacentral:rRNA from 1 species
UACGAAGGGGGCUAGCGUUGCUCGGAAUCACUGGGCGUAAAGCGCACGUAGGCGGCUUGUUAAGUCAGGGGUGAAAUCCUGGAGCUCAACUCCAGAACUGCCCUUGAUACUGGCGAGCUUGAGUUCGGGAGAGGUGAGUGGAACUGCGAGUGUAGAGGUGAAAUUCGUAGAUAUUCGCAAGAACACCAGUGGCGAAGGCGGCUCACUGGCCCGAUACUGACGCUGAGGUGCGAAAGCGUGGGGAGCAAACAGG